AUGAACGCUGGCGGCGUGCUUAACACAUGCAAGUCGAACGGACUUAGGAUGAAACCUAGUGAUUUCUAAGUUAGUGGCGGACGGGUGAGUAACGCGUGGGCAACCUGCCUCAUACAGGGGGAUAACACUUAGAAAUAGGUGCUAAUACCGCAUAAGCGCACAGCUUCGCAUGGAGCAGUGUGAAAAACUCCGGUGGUAUGAGAUGGACCCGCGUCUGAUUAGCUAGUUGGUGAGGUAAUGGCUCACCAAGGCAACGAUGCGUAGCCGACCUGAGAGGGUGAUCGGCCACAUUGGGACUGAGACACGGCCCAAACUCCUACGGGAGACAGCAGUUAGGAAUAUUCGUCAAUGGGGGAAACCCUGAACGAGCAAUGCCGCGUGAGUGAUGACGGUCCUUUGGAUUGUAAAACUCUGUUGUUAGGGAAGAACGACCAGUAUAGGAAAUGAUACUGGAGUGACGGUACCUUUCAAGAAAGCUCCGGCUAACUACGUG
rnacentral:rRNA from 1 species